CGCUGGCGGCGUGCCUAACACAUGCAAGUCGAGCGGGGACAUGCGACGGACCUGAAGAUUCGGUUGGAUGGAAAGAUGUAUUGUCUAGCGGCGGACGGGUGAGUAACGCGUGAGCAACCUGUCCCUUACAGGGGGAUAACACAGCGAAAGUUGUACUAAUACCGCAUAAGACCACGGUGGGACAUCCUACAGGGGGUCAAAGGAGCAAUCCGGUAAGGGGUGGGCUCGCGUCCGAUUAGAUAGUUGGUGAGGUAACGGCCCACCAAGUCGACGAUCGGUAGCCGACCUGAGAGGGUGAUCGGCCACAUUGGGACUGAGACACGGCCCAAACUCCUACGGGAGGCAGCAGUGGGGAAUAUUGGGCAAUGGGGGGAAACCCCCUGACCCAGCAACGCCGCGUGAGGGAAGAAGGUUUUCGGAUCGUAAACCUCUGUCCUUGGUGAAGAGGAAGAGACGGUAGCCAAGGAGGAAGCCCCGGCUAACUACGUGCCAGCCGCUGC
rnacentral:rRNA from 1 species